rnacentral:rRNA from 1 species
UGGGGAAUAUUGCACAAUGGGCGAAAGCCUGAUGCAGCAACGCCGCGUGAGUGAUGAAGGUCUUCGGAUUGUAAAGCUCUGUCUUUUGGGACGAUAAUGACGGUACCAAAGGAGGAAGCCACGGCUAACUACGUGCCAGCAGCCGCGGUAAUACGUAGGUGGCGAGCGUUGUCCGGAUUUACUGGGCGUAAAGGGUGCGUAGGCGGAUGUUUAAGUGAGAUGUGAAAUACCCGGGCUUAACUUGGGUGCUGCAUUUCAAACUGGAUAUCUAGAGUGCAGGAGAGGAGAAUGGAAUUCCUAGUGUAGCGGUGAAAUGCGUAGAGAUUAGGAAGAACACCAGUGGCGAAGGCGAUUCUCUGGACUGUAACUGACGCUGAGGCACGAAAGCGUGGGUAGCAAACAGGAUUAGAUACCCUGGUAGUCCACGCCGUAAAACGAUGAGUACUAGGUGUAGGAGGUAUCGACCCCUUCUGUGCCGCAGUAAAACACAUUAAGUACUCCGCCUGGGAAGUACGAUCGCAAG